AUGCACCGGGGCUUGCCUUAUUACAGGAGGAGAUCUGAGAUCUUCUAUCACGAUAGGCAGUUAGAUGGAGUCCACCACUGGAUCAAUAGCACUGGAGUAGGUUCCAUCUUCACAAGGACCAAUUCUUGUUCUUGGUGUUCUACAUGAAAUGAUAUGAAUAUGGAUAUUUGCUUAAACUAGGAAUAUGCAACUUGCAAAGGAGACAACACAUAUUAUUCCUAGACUUAACAUAUAAGCUAUCAUCACAAGCCAGAACUACCAGGGAGCUACUUAUCCUUAGAAUUCAUCUAACCAUUCACAACUUGCUAAACAAUUUCAUCCUUUACUAAGACAUCAGGUGCCUUAAUUACCGAGGGGUAAAACUCUUUUUCUUUAUUGAGCAAUAAUUAAUUUACUAAGCAAAUCUUGUCCAAACAGUUCCAAACUUUAUCCAAGGGUUCAUAUGCUCAAGAUAAGCUUACACAAAUUUUCCUACAAUUUUUAGUGCUCUAUUUUUAUUACUAAAAUUUCAUAUAAGUUCAUUUAAAGCAGGUUUUAUUCAUCUAAAAAUAUUUAUUUGCUACAAAAACUCCAAAACUAUUUUUACCUGGAACGCUACCAAUUUACCUAUCUAACCAAAUUUGUUUUACUAAUUUAGCACUUUUCCACAAUUUUUGGUAUAAAUAAACAGACAUUAGGUAAAAGAAAAUGCUAAACACAUGAACAGUCUCGGGCCAGAACUAACCCAGCCAGCCCAACUCCAGGCAAAACCGGCCCACUCAGACAGCGCUUACAGCCCUAGGCUCCAGCACCGCGCGCGCCCGCGCUUCCUCUGCGCGUGUCGGCGGCUUCCAACUUCGAUGGUGUUAAGCCGGAACGACGAUGCAGUAGAGUUCCCAACCAUGGUGGAGCAGGCACUUGCGACUCACCACAGAGCAGACCAACCCCAGAUCACGCACGCAACCGGCCCCAGAUAAGGUCUGCCACGGCGAGACCGUUCCCAGCGGCGUUCACCGGCGGCACCGCGGCGUUCCCGACGAGACACUGCAGUAGAGAUGAAAAGGGUAGUGCCAUGAGCUUCACUGGCUUAAGGAGAUUACUGAACGCGAGUGACACGGGUGAGCAACUCCUCGAGACGACACGGCCACAGUGAGAUGAGAAACUGAUGAGCUCAGUCACCAGAAAAGGGAGAUUGGCAUGCGAUGAACAAGAGCAGAUCGAACCUGAUGGCCGGGGAGAGUAAACACCGACGUGAACAUGAACCACAACACUCACACGAUGCACUCUCGCUAGAACUCAAGAACGGGAAGAGACUUCACUGCCCUGGCCCUGCAGCGACUAGAUAAAAGGGUAGUGCAAAGUGAUUGAGCUCGGCCGGUUCACGGUAGAGAAGGCUUUGAUGGCGCCAGCACAACAUGGCUCAAACACGUGGCUAAGCUUCCAAGCCCCACGCCAACAUGCAAGCAACACCAAAGCAUCGAACUUGGGUUGGUUCACAGGCACACCACAAAUAUCCACUCUGCUCAGAAAUUCAGACAUAGAGGAGAGCAGAUAAGGACCCACUGUUCCCAGACAGUCCAAAACUUAGAUAUUUCAGUGGGGAGAGGCAUCUCCCUUGGCCACGCAUUUUACUCUUAUCUCCAUCCACAUAUUUAAAGUAACAUUUGCAGGGAAAAGGAUCUUCUUUAUUUACCAACUGAAACUCUGAAUUCAACCAAAUCAGGCCUGCUGCUCCCAUUCCCCUCCUCACUGUUUAAGCCCUUUGAUUUUAAAUUCCCCUUAACAAUAGACCAGACUUACUUAACCAAAAUUACUCUCCAAACCAAGCUCUAUCACUUUGGUAUAACAACCCAGGGCUAAAAACGUCUUGGAACAAAAACUAUGAUGCCCAAAAGUAGAGAAAAACCAACACUGGCAGCUCAAUCUCAAUUGACUGAAACAGCCCAUACCAAACUAACAUUAAGUUGUGUAACAGAAUUUUCUCUAAUUUCUUCCGAGUAACAAGCCCAACUCUUUAUAUAAAAAUUGUUCACCUUAUAACAACCUCCAACAUUUCUAUGUACUUCUUAAUCUGCAACUUGAUGGAAUGGUCGCAAGAGUGCCCCAAACUGAUUCAAGUUUCAGCUAUCAGCACCUGAAUCCCACACUUUUCUGACAGAACCCCCAUCUUAAUCCCCUUAAAUCUCAUGAUUCCAAAUGGUAACAGUGAAACGACCACAACAUAAAUUGCUCUCCCAACAUCCUUCUACAUCUUUGCUGCAGAAUCCCCAGUCCAAAACUCCAUGGAUUUGGUACUACAGACCUCCAAAGUCGAGCACAAAUUCACAAAAACUCAGUUUGCAGCUAACUGAACCAGAGUUCAGACCAUACCCAACUGACAGAGGAUGUUUAGGUGCAGUUUAUUCUUAGAUUUGUACAGCACUAAGCCUACCUCUCCUUAGAAAACUUACUCACCUUACUUUGGUCUCCAAGUUCUCUACAGAAACUACGGCCUAAAAGUGCAUGGAUUGAUCAACAAGGAGGUCCAAACUGAGCAUCAUACUGAACUUUCAGUUUCAGCUAUUUGAACAAAAAUUCAGUUAGUGCACACUGACAAUCCAUUUUUGGGCAAAUUUUACUUUCCUUUUUGUUUGUGAUCAAGCCCAACUCACUUAAAGGAGUCUGUUCACUAUAAUAUGGUCUUCAACUAAUCUACAGAAACCAUAGUC
rnacentral:lncRNA from 1 species